rnacentral:rRNA from 1 species
AUUGAACGCUGGCGGUAUGCUUAAGACAUGCAAGUCGUGCGGUAGGGGCUUCGGCCCUGAGAGCGGCGGACGGGUGAGUAACGCGUGGGAAUCUGCCUGCUAGUGGGGGAUAGCCCGGAGAAAUCCGGAUUAAUACCGCAUACGCCCUAAGGGGGAAAGCCGCAAGGCGCUAGUAGAUGAGCUCGCGUAAGAUUAGCUAGUUGGUGAGGUAAAGGCUCACCAAGGCGACGAUCUUUAGCUGGUCUGAGAGGAUGGCCAGCCACAUCGGGACUGAGACACGGCCCGGACUCCUACGGGAGGCAGCAGUCGGGAAUAUUGGACAAUGGGCGCAAGCCUGAUCCAGCAAUACCGCGUGUGUGAAGAAGGCCUGCGGGUUGUAAAGCACUUUCAGUUGGGAAGAUAAUGACGUUACCAACAGAAGAAGCACCGGCUAACUCCGUGCCAGCAGCCGCGGUAAGGCACGACUGU